rnacentral:rRNA from 1 species
GACGAACGCUGGCGGCGUGCUUAACACAUGCAAGUCGAACGGAAAGGCCCUGCUUUUGUGGGGUGCUCGAGUGGCGAACGGGUGAGUAACACGUGAGUAACCUGCCCUUGACUUUGGGAUAACUUCAGGAAACUGGGGCUAAUACCGGAUAGGAGCUCCUGCUGAAUGGUGGGGGUUGGAAAGUUUCGGCGGUUGGGGAUGGACUCGCGGCUUAUCAGCUUGUUGGUGGGGUAGUGGCUUACCAAGGCUUUGACGGGUAGCCGGCCUGAGAGGGUGACCGGCCACAUUGGGACUGCGAUACGGCCCAGACUCCUACGGGAGGCAGCAGUGGGGAAUAUUGCACAAUGGGCGGAAGCCUGAUGCAGCAACGCCGCGUGCGGGAUGACGGCCUUCGGGUUGUAAACCGCUUUCGCCUGUGACGAAGCGUGAGUGACGGUAAUGGGUAAAGAAGCACCGGCUAACUACGUG